rnacentral:rRNA from 1 species
UACGUAGGGGGCAAGCGUUGUCCGGAUUUAUUGGGCGUAAAGAGCGUGUAGGCGGCUAGAUAGGUCCGUUGUGAAAACUCGAGGCUCAACCUCGAGACGUCGAUGGAAACCAUCUGGCUAGAGUCCGGAAGAGGAGACUGGAAUUCAUGGUGUAGCAGUGAAAUGCGUAGAGAUCAUGAGGAAGACCAGUGGCGAAGGCGGGUCUCUGGACAGUUCCUGACACUGAGACACGAAGGCCAGGGGAGCAAACGGG